rnacentral:rRNA from 1 species
GACGAACGCUGGCGGCGUGCUUAACACAUGCAAGUCGAACGCUGAAGCUCAGCUUUUGUUGGGUGGAUGAGUGGCGAACGGGUGAGUAACACGUGAGUAACCUGCCUCCUUCUUUGGGAUAACGCCCGGAAACGGGUGCUAAUACUGGAUAUUCACUGGUCUUCGCAUGGGGGUUGGUGGAAAGGGUUUUUCUGGUGGGGGAUGGGCUCGCGGCCUAUCAGCUUGUUGGUGGGGUGAUGGCCUACCAAGGCUUUGACGGGUAGCCGGCCUGAGAGGGUGACCGGUCACAUUGGGACUGAGAUACGGCCCAGACUCCUACGGGAGGCAGCAGUGGGGAAUAUUGCACAAUGGGCGCAAGCCUGAUGCAGCGACGCCGCGUGAGGGAUAGAGGCCUUCGGGUUGUGAACCUCUUUCGCUCAUGGUCAAGCCGCAACAAUGGUUGUGGUGAGGGUAGUGGGUAAAGAAGCGCCGGCUAACUACGCG